rnacentral:misc_RNA from 1 species
GUUCUUCCUGAGGUUCUUGCAGCCUCUAUAAAUGCAAUGGGUUGCAUCUUGUCGUACAAUGGGAUGUCAGGAAUAUCAUUGCCGCAUGAGCCUGUGGACUCACUUACUACAAUGGUUGGUGCUACUGAGAUUGGUCAGUCUGAUCCUGGGUGGAAUAACAGAAUGGAUAUGAAUCCUAACAUCCGGCAUCAACACCCCAAUAUGCAUCAGCAAAGAGGAGGUGGCAUUCAUGUAUCAAAGGGAUCGUCUGCGCAUAGAGGAACCAUGCAAAGAGGUCAUUCUAAGCGGAAACGUGGAAAUGGACCUUAUUGAAUCAGAGGC